rnacentral:tRNA from 1 species
AGAAUAGUAUUUAAAAUAUAUAAAAUCUAAUCUGCGAUUAGACCUUGCACCUGGCCUAUUCU